rnacentral:rRNA from 1 species
ACGGGUGAGUAAUAUAUCGGAACGUGCCCAGUCGUGGGGGAUAACGUAGAGAAAUUUACGCUAAUACCGCAUACGAUCUAAGGAUGAAAGCGGGGGAUCGCAAGACCUCGCGCGAUUGGAGCGGCUGAUAUCAGAUUAGGUUGUUGGUGAGGUAAAAGCUCACCAAGCCGACGAUCUGUAGCUGGUUUGAGAGAACGACCAGCCACACUGGGACUGAGACACGGCCCAGACUCCUACGGGAGGCAGCAGUGGGGAAUUUUGGACAAUGGGCGAAAGCCUGAUCCAGCAAUGCCGCGUGCAGGAAGAAGGCCUUCGGGUUGUAAACUGCUUUUGUACGGAACGAAACGGCUCUUUCUAAUAAAGAGGGCUAAUGACGGUACCGUAAGAAUAAGCACCGGCUAACUACGUGCCAGCAGCCGCGGUAAUACGUAGGGUGCGAGCGUUAAUCGGAAUUACUGGGCGUAAAGCGUGCGCAGGCGGUUAUAUAAGACAGUUGUGAAAUCCCCGGGCUCAACCUGGGAAUUGCAUCUGUGACUGUAUAGCUAGAGUACGGUAGAGGGGGAUGGAAUUCCGCGU